GGGCUUCUGUUACUGAAAACUGCCACACACAGCCCCAAGAUGGUUCUGGGUCCCCUGGCUAGGACAUUCAAUCAUGAAGUGAUUCCGAACACACUAACAAAGAAACACUUCACUUGGCUGCCAGACAGAGUGAUGUUUUUCUGAGGGACCUUCACAGAUGAGAUCCUCGGAUCACAAGACGUCAACGGGGAUUGGGGCAAAGCGUUGGUGCGACCGCGCCAGAGCCGUUUAGGGAACGGACGGACGAUGACUCUCUUAUAGGAGAGAUGUCUUUGUCAACAGACAAGUGGCCUGAUUCUUCAGCUCUGAGGUGGACAGUGAUGGGUCCAACGUUCCCAGAGCUGCCUACCCCUUCCACCAAGGAAAGAUGCUGUUGGUCAACCAAGAGCUGAAUCGUGCUGUUACACCAAGUCUACCAGAGCUUUCAGUCUCCAGAACUGGGGGAAACAAACUUGGUAUUAACA